rnacentral:rRNA from 1 species
UACGGGGGGGGUAAGCGUUGUUCGGAAUCACUGGGCGUAAAGGGCGCGUAGGCGGGAUGGCAAGUCGGUCGUGAAAUCUCUCGGCUCAACCGAGAAACGUCGGCCGAUACUGCCGUUCUUGAGGGAUGCAGAGGAGACUGGAAUUCCCGGUGUAGCGGUGAAAUGUGUAGAGAUCGGGAGGAACACCGGUGGCGAAGGCGGGUCUCUGGGCAUUUCCUGACGCUGAGGCGCGAAAGCGUGGGGAGCAAACGGG